rnacentral:rRNA from 1 species
GACGAACGCUGGCGGCGUGCCUAAUACAUGCAAGUUGAGCGCUGAAGGUUGGUACUUGUACCAACUGGAUGAGCAGCGAACGGGUGAGUAACGCGUGGGGAAUCUGCCUUUGAGCGGGGGACAACAUUUGGAAACGAAUGCUAAUACCGCAUAAAAACUUUAAACACAAGUUUUAAGUUUGAAAGAUGCAAUUGCAUCACUCAAAGAUGAUCCCGCGUUGUAUUAGCUAGUUGGUGAGGUAAAGGCUCACCAAGGCGAUGAUACAUAGCCGACCUGGGAGGGUGGUCGGCCCCCUUUGGACUUGGACACGGCCCCAACCCCCUCGGGGGGCCGCAGUAGGGAAUCUUCGGCAAUGGACGAAAGUCUGACCGCGCAACGCCGCGUGAGUGGAGAAGGUUUUCGGAUCGUAAAACUCUGUUGGUAGAGAAGAACGUUGGUGAGAGUGGAAAGCUCAUCAAGUGACGGUAACUACCCAGAAAGGGCCGGCUAACUACGUG